GACGUGGCAACAGCUGACCCUUGUUCAAAGUAGCAUACAGCUAGCACAUGGGUUCCUCCCAAUGCUGUACCUCUAAGAAGCUUCACCCAGGCCCUGGUCCUCAUGCAGCUGGACCAACAAGCAGUAAACACAGCUACUCCAGAAGAGAAACAUUUCAGCUCCUCAAAGCUAAGGGAGGGCAGCUCGCUGAGGUCAGACACCAUCUACUGAGCUCCUACGGUUGGCAUGGCUACCAUUACCAAGUUGACUCCUUGUGAUGGCCUUUGAUAUAGGUAGGCAUCAAUAGUCCCAUUCUAUAGGUGAGGGAAGAGCCUCUCAGGUUGGAAGCCACUUGUCCUGAGUCACACAGAAAACUAAUUGUUUCUACCUAGGUCUUCCUGAUUGGAGGCCUAUACCACAUAGCCUUUCCUGUGGCCUGUCUCCUCCCCAUUGGGUAGAACCAAGGACAGUGCCAAUAACUGAGUAACCACUGUGUCACAGGUCCUCGGUGAGUGUCACUACAUGCUGGAGCCUAUAGAAAAAUCCAGAAAGCUCUGCUGUUUCCUAUGACAUGCUUUCUGUUCCACAGAGAGGGCCUGGAAUGUUCCCCAAACCAGAGUGCUGCAAUCCAGGUUGGUACAAGGACACACAGCCGUAGCACACAGAACCCUCUGGGCUGGACUUUCUGAGGCAGGAAAAGUGUCUGAUUCGUUAUGAAUAUUCAAAAUGUCCAUUUAAAAUGAUGUUUGCUUUGUGUUUAAAGAACUGGAGACAUUUAGGCCAGGAGCUGUCAAAGACGGUGCCAUCUUGGCUUUUGCAUUUAUUCUAAUAGGUAACAGGAGCAGAGUUGAAGUAUUUGGGGUGACCCCUGCUGGUCAUCUUGAAAAUCUCAUCUCAACUAAGGUAUUCAUUCAUUCUCUCUCUCUCUCUCUCUCUCUCUCUCUCUCUCUCUCUCUCUCUCGUUUUAGACAGAAUUUGACAUAACUUCAAGAGUUUGACAUGUUGGCUUCCAACUCACGUAGCUGAGGCUGACUGAUUCCCCUUUCUCCACCUCCCAAGUGCUAGGAUUCCAGGAAUAUGCCGCCAUGCCUGGCUGAAUCAUUCCUUCUUUCUCCACAAACAAACUUUUUAUUAGACCUCUGCCAUUCCCAGGCCAACCAGAAACAAAAUGUCAUGAAUGAGGUCAGACACACCUGGAGAUGCUGAGUGAGGCAGGAUGGAGGCUGGCUGCAGUCCCACAGGUGAACAAGAUGGAGCUGCUGAGGCUCUGUGGGAACCCCUGCAGCCCUGCUGCAGGCCAUCCCCACGCUGCUCAGGUUCCGUGUGCUUUCCCACCCAUUAUUAUAAACUUGCUGCUCAAAAUAGCAAGGUUAAAAACCCAGUCAGGCCCCCAGGGUGACAUCUGGGGGGUCUGUAGGGGCUAACGGGCAUGUGGACCUCAUAUCCAUCAUAGCACAGUUUGGAUUACAGCCUCCAGGAAGCCAUGGUCUGGAGUGCCAGCCCAUAAAAGGAGAGAACACUGAGUCAUGCUUGUCUCCCUGCCUCCCUUUCAAUCCACUUCCAAAUAUUUCCUGAUGCUUCUCCAGCCAGGUCAGGUUAUGUGAGUCACGCCAAGAACCAAUCGGCUCUUUGGAGUCUAUUCAUCUGGCCUCUUACCAAUAGUUAAACAGAACCUGGUCCAUUUUACAGGGAAGAAAACUGAGGCAUAGAAGGGAGAAACAAACAAGACAGGGUUCAGUUACCUUUGUACCUAAGACAAACUACCCAAGAGCCUCUGUUGGGAUAAUCAUCCAAUCAUUCGUGUAGGUGAAGAGGCUAAGGGUCCCUAAACUAUCCUUAGAUAUUUCACUUGCUUCAUGAAAGAAAGCAAAACAACAUACCUUUAGCAUCCAUACACCAUACACCAGUGAGUACCCAACACUACUGUGUAUGGUCACGUGCCAUACUUAACCCCUACAAGACAGGGUGUGUGUUUAUUUAGUUUUGUUUUUGUGCAAUGCUGAAAUUGAACCCAAGGCCCUGAACAUGCCAAGCAAACGCCAGCCUCACACUCAUACCCCAGGA